UGCUGGCAAACCGUCCUGCAAUUGAUCUGGGCUGAUGCAAAAAGAACACAGCGAGGAAUCAGGAAGAUCUAGCAGAGGCCAGGAGUCCCAGAGUGCUGGAGAGAAUUACAAAAGCAAGGAAGCCGCAGCCACUGCCCUUCAGCUUAAAAUACAGGCACAUUAAAGAGACACCACGUGCAAAUCACAAAGAACCUGGCCACUGUCCUCACUGUUUCAAUUCUCCGGCAGACCUGGGGCCCUGAGAUGCCGAUUGCUGAAUCUCACAUUCCUGGAGGAUCUUUGAGUGUCUGCCCUUUGAUGUUUGACAAUAAGAACAGAGUUAUGAAGAUAGAUUACAUAUAUAUGUGAUUGCCAGUACAGGGUCCAGAAGUCAUUUAAUAUUGUCAUUAUCCCUGUCGCUGUUAUUGGAUCUUGAAGUUGAAGAUGAUUUGGAUAAAAGGAGAAGAGGAGCUUCAGGGAGAUGGAACAGAGGAAGGAAAGGCUUAUAAGCAUAAGGAUUUGUUAGAGGAUACCUGUACAAAUUAUAGGAGGGAGCUUCAACUGGUCAGCCUCACAGUCAGGCUCCGUGUAUGGCAGAUGUGAAGCCUUCUGCGACCUGUACUCACCACCCCGCUUCCCUCUUGCUCUCAUCCACCUUUCAACAGGAGCCUGCCUAUUGGCCUCGUCCCACCUCUUCUGCCUAGAGAAGAAAGCUACUGAUUAACAAAUUUACAGAAAGAUGUUGGAAAUUGAUGUGACGCCCCUCACAGACUGAAUGAGGCAGAUAGGAUUUUUCAAAGAACCCCAUGUAAAAGGCAGUUGCUUAGCCCAAAGUCAGAGGGACCAAAUGGGGGGGAUCUGUAGGUACUGGUGAAAUGGCAAGUCAUCAAUUAGGUAAUAGAUAACACUUUCUGCUGCCCACAUAUAGAGCUGGACAUUGGCAUGAGGGUGCCAGAAUGUUCCCACUUACUUGGGGUGAAGAAAGGAGAGGAGAUAUCUCUCUAGCCUUAGGGUUGGAUCCUUUUUUGGAACACUAGUAGGUCAACAUGAAAGGUGAUCUCCUGAUACUCCAUUUAGCACUCCCAGGGUAUCCAACCCUGCCUUUCUAAAAAAUCUGAUGGGGGGAAUUAUGGGUUUUAUACCCAGAAGCCAGGAAAUUUCUGAGGGGAUUGAUCUGGGUGUGGUUCCAUGGUUUUAGGCACAGUAAAUUCAUCAAGUGAUUCAUGUAAGAUUACUGCAUGUUACAUUUCGCAUAUAUCUCAAUUUUACAAAGUAAAAAGUAAAUAUUUGUCCAUUGCCAAAAACAUCAGUUCUCAAAAUCUUAUUUGUACACCAAUAUUUUCCUGAAACUCUAUUAGCUGAUAAUCAUCUAUCUCUUCUCUCUACCUAACCAAAUCCUGGGUUUUAUUAAGGGCCAGGUGAAGACAAGCUUUCUAAAGAAAAUGUAACC